CAGCUAGUUGGUAAGGUAAUGGCUUACCAAGGCUACGAUGUUUAGGGGAUCUGAGAGGAUGACCCCCCACACUGGUACUGAGACACGGACCAGACUCCUACGGGAGGCAGCAGUAAGGAAUAUUGGUCAAUGGGCGGAAGCCUGAACCAGCCAUGCCGCGUGCAGGAAGACGGCCCUACGGGUUGUAAACUGCUUUUGUACCGGAAUAAACCCUGAUUCGUGAAUCAGGCUGAAUGUACGGUAAGAAUAAGGAUCGGCUAACUCCGUGCCAGCAGCCGCGGUAAUACGGAGGAUCCAAGCGUUAUCCGGAUUUAUUGGGUUUAAAGGGUGCGUAGGCGGCCUGUUAAGUCAGGGGUGAAAGACGGUAGCUCAACUAUCGCAGUGCCCUUGAUACUGAUGGGCUUGAAUGUACUAGAGGUAGGCGGAAUGUGACAAGUAGCGGUGAAAUGCAUAGAUAUGUCACAGAACACCAAUUGCGAAGGCAGCUUACUAUGGUAUGAUUGACG
rnacentral:rRNA from 1 species